GCCUCGUUGGCUCACUUGGUAGAGCGUGGAGACUUUUAAUCUAACGGUGAGGGUUUCAAGUUCCCUACGCGGCU